UCAAGAGGCUUCGGCAAUGGGGGAAACCCUGACCGAGCGACGCCGCGUGGGUGAUGAAGAUUCUCGGAUCGUAAAACCCUGUCAGGUGGGAUGAAAAAUCAUUCGGCUAAUACCCGAGUGACAUGACAGUACCACCAGAGGAAGCUCCGGCUAACUCCGUGCCAGCAGCCGCGGUAACACGGGGGGAGCAAGCGUUGUUCGGAUUCAUUGGGCGUAAAGAGCUCGUAGGCGGCUCUGUAAGUCGGGGGUGAAAGACCACAGCUCAACUGUGGAAACGCCUUCGAAACUGCGGAGCUUGAGGCCGGGAGAGGAAAGUGGAAUUCCUGGUGUAGCGGUGAAAUGCGUAGAUAUCAGGAGGAACACCAGUGGCGAAGGCGGCUUUCUGGACCGGUUCUGACGCUGAGGAGCGAAAGCUAGGGGAGCAAACAGGAUUAGAUACCCUGGUAGUCCUAGCUGUAAACGAUGGGCACUAGGUGUGGGGGGAUCGACCCCUUCCGUGCCGCGAGUUAACGCUAUUAAGUGCCCCGCCUGGGGGAGUACGACCGCAAGGUUGA
rnacentral:rRNA from 1 species